rnacentral:rRNA from 1 species
UACGGAGGGUGCGAGCGUUGUCCGGAAUCACUGGGCGUAAAGGGCGCGUAGGUGGCUUCUCAAGCGCGCGGUGAAAGCCCGGGGCUCAACCCCGGGUCGGCCGUGCGGACUGGGAGGCUCGAGCACUGUAGGGGCGGGUGGAAUUCCGGGUGUAGCGGUGGAAUGCGUAGAGAUCCGGAAGAACACCGGUGGCGAAGGCGGCCAACUGGACCAAUACUGACGCUGAGGCGCGAAAGCGUGGGGAGCAAACAGG